rnacentral:lncRNA from 1 species
UCCCUAUUUAUUUUCAAUAAUCUGAAGCAGCAAAGAAGCAAUUCGUUGCAAAUUGGUUUGCAAACGCUGGUUUUCUCUAAUCUCCUCUCAUUACUUCGUCCCCUGUUUCGUUAACAAUUGCAAUACUAAUGGUAAACUCUGCUCCCCUUUGCUCUUGUUUUACUUGAUGGAAAUUAUCUAAAAUAUGUAGAGUUUCUGCACGGUAAGGUUUAUCAAAUCGUGUGGGUUUAGGGUUUUUCUAUGCGGGUCGGCCCAAUGAUCAUUCACUUAGUUUGGAAGCAUCCUGUGGUGACUUAAUUUUAUUCUCUGAUAGAAAUUACUCUGCUAUGAGUUAUUAUAUCUGUAAUAUUCUCACUAGGCAAUGGAUUGUUCUUCCUCCAGCUCCUCCAGAAAGAGGGGUUUUUGGUGAGAGCGUUGGGUUCUUGUACGAGCCUUUGGAUAAUGAUGAUCGACACUAGAUGUGGCAAACAUGCGGGUCGGGUCGUAUAUGAGACGAGUCGAAAAUGGGUAGUGCAAAAACAGAUAAAUUAUCCAACCCGGUCCAUAUUUAAUACGGAUAAAAAAUGGAUUAACUGGCGGAUAAUGUGAUUAUCCAUAUUGUCCAUGACUUCUUGAAUAUGAUCACUUUUGGAAAAAUUACUAAUCUCCCAAACUUGAGAAACCCUCGAUUUGAGGCUUUACAAAUAUAAAAAUUAAACUCAUUAGUUAUCCAUUGGUUAUUUAUUUUCUAAGUGGAUAAUAUAGUUCUUAUUCAUAUUUGAUCCGUUUUUAAAAAAUUCAUUAUUCAACCCAUUUUUAAUAGAUAAUAUGGGUGGAUAACUAUUUUCUUUUAUCCAUUUUGCCACCACUAAUCGACACAAUAAGUAUCUGAAGGCGUUACGAUUUAUUCCUUGUGAUAGGUAUUCUCAUGAAGGCAAUUCUAUGUUUAUUGUCGAGAUAUUUUCGCCCAACAAGAGCAAUUAGACCAAACUUGUUGUUAUGUCUCCGCGGAUUUUGAAAAGUUCGGGUUCUAAGACUUCGAUUAUUGCCUGCGGACGGACGUUAUAUACAUUGAAUUAUAGCAAUGGCAUUACGGUUAAUUGUAUUCUCACGUUUGAUCCAUUCACUAAUGAUCCUGCUCAGUUCCUAUGCGUUAUUGAUUUACCACCUGAGGCUCGUGAUAUUCGUUGUAUGGCCAGCGAAUUGGGAGUGUGUCGAGGUUGUUUACAUCUUGCUCGAGUAAAUCUCCAACCAAGUACAUACCCUUGUAUAAGUGUAUGAGAGCUUGAGGAUUACAGAAGGGGAAAUGGACGUUGGUACACAAGAGAAUCCGGACGAACAAGGCAUUAAGAGUGCCCCUAUUUCGUUGUGAUACCAAGAAUUUGAUUUAUGUACUAGCUUUUCUCCCAAAUAAUGUGGAUCUUAUAUGUUUUCGUGCAGGUAAUUAUCAUGUUGUCGUGUACAAUAUACAAACAGAUAAAGUGGAAAGCUCUACCCGCUAUUCUCUAUUCACGCUGCAUGAUCCACCAAGAUUACUAGUAUCAGAUGUGUUACCAAUUGCCAAAAAUGGUGGCCAACUCCGGUAAGACAUCCCUUUGAUCUCAGAGCUUCCUAUCAAAGAGUGAGUCUUGGUCAUUUGGAUUAGAGUUGUUGAUGAUCAUUCUUAUCUUUUUCUUCUUCUUGUCCAUAUUUAGUUCAUUCAGGAUGUUUUAGGCCAUAUGAUGUAGUGUUGAAAUACAAGCAUAUUUUUUUUUUUAUGAAGUAAGUAGGAUAUAAUAUAAAAAGGCAUCAAGAAGAUGCAAUAAGGUUAUACAAGAAGUGAGUUUGUCAGUUCAUUUAUAAUUUAAGUGCUACAAAACUAGAGAGCUGACAAAAUCAAAAAUAAAAAUAAAAAUUAGAGUCAUUUACAGCAGUGAGGUUAGCCCAGUGAAACAAGUUAAUCAAACAUUUAGCCUUAAAGGAGCAUAUUGAAGUUGAUAACCCAUCAAAACAUCUACUAUUCCUUUCGGUCCAAAUACACCAAAAAAUACUUGCAGGUACUAUAUUCCAGAUUUUCCUGAUGGCUCUGUCAACUUUCUUUGAACUGCAGCUCACAUAGGCAUCUCUGACAGAGGAGCAUAGUCCAAUGCAAACCAA